AUUGAACGCUGGCGGCAGGCCUAACACAUGCAAGUCGAACGGUAACAGGAAACAGCUUGCUGUUUCGCUGACGAGUGGCGGACGGGUGAGUAAUGUCUGGGAAACUGCCUGAUGGAGGGGGAUAACUACUGGAAACGGUAGCUAAUACCGCAUAACGUCGCAAGACCAAAGAGGGGGACCUUCGGGCCUCUUGCCAUCGGAUGUGCCCAGAUGGGAUUAGCUAGUAGGUGGGGUAACGGCUCACCUAGGCGACGAUCCCUAGCUGGUCUGAGAGGAUGGCCAGCCACACUGGAGCUGAGACACGGUCCAGACUCCUACGGGAGGCAGCAGUGGGGAAUAUUGCACAAUGGGCGCAAGCCUGAUGCAGCCAUGCCGCGUGUAUGAAGAAGGCCUUCGGGUUGUAAAGUACUUUCAGCGGGGAGGAAGGGAGUAAAGUUAAUACCUUUACUCAUUGACGUUACCCGCAGAAGAAGCACCGACUAACUCCGUGCCAGCCGCCGCCGUAA
rnacentral:rRNA from 1 species